rnacentral:rRNA from 1 species
CAGUCGCCGCGGUAAUACAGAGGGUGCGAGCGUUAAUCGGAUUUACUGGGCGUAAAGCGUGCGUAGGCGGCUUCUUAAGUCGGAUGUGAAAUCCCUGAGCUUAACUUAGGAAUUGCAUUCGAUACUGGGAAGCUAGAGUAUGGGAGAGGAUGGUAGAAUUCCAGGUGUAGCGGUGAAAUGCGUAGAGAUCUGGAGGAAUACCGAUGGCGAAUGCAGCCAUCUGGCCUAAUACUGACGCUGAGGUACGAAAGCAUGGGGAGCAAACAGGAUUAGAUACCCCGGUAGUCCCUGUCUCUUAUAC